CCUCGUUCCUCUGCUGAUAGACAAACCAGCCUCCUAAAGGCAAAGAGCAAAAGCGGAAUCGGCCUUCGGAUGAUGCCACAGUCUCACAGGAUGAAUCUAGGCUCGCAGCAGGAAGGGCGCGCUGGAAAGAAGCAAACCGACACAGCCCAGACGCUUGACGUUCCAAAACGUUCUGGAAAGGAUAGGUGACGCCAGGCCUGUGACCACCAAAUUAGGAGCACUACCUUUCGAACGGAGAGGGACUGCCCUCUUGGACAAGGACUAAAACAAGGUGGAAUGGUUUGGCCUUUCUCUCAGCCCAGAGGCCCGAAACCGGUCCUGUACACCCUCGGGCGGACCGGUGUGGUUGGGGGGAGGUGAUCGGGGGCGGAAGGACCCCUGCUGAGGAAAAGGGGCGGAAAAGUGACUGGGGAUCCCAGGCGGGGUCGGAGUGAGAGGAAACUGCAGACGGUUCGGAGUCGUUGCUGGGAUCCAGAGACGAGCAAUAAUCGGUCAGCUGAACCCCAAAGAAUGCACUUCCCAUCAGGGAUCCUGAGACAAGCAGGUGGAUUACGGGGGCCUGUAGGGGCCAAAUAGGAUUCAUCGGUUCAUCAGGAUAUUCCUGGGAUCGGCUUUAUGCAGACCACUUCAUUCCAUAUCCCGUACGGCCGGUGCUGCGGUGGACUGGGCUUAGAUGACCGUGAGGGCCAUAACCGCUCCGUAAUAUCUGCCCUCGCUCACUCGGGACUGACACAAAUCAACUCAAUUGACCCCACAGUUAAAUGAACCGGGAUUCGACGGUAUCGCGGUGUGUUUUCCGAGCUUAUAAAUAUGAAAUGUCGACUUACUGUCAGGGAGCUGGACUUCUCGAUACCUAACUAAUUGGCUUGGAAGGAGGGGCUUAGUAUGAGCGUGUUCGAUCAACGUGUCCUCCACCAUCUGCAUGACUCCCAACGCGGCCUGAAAGGAGAAAUCUCCAUUACGGUCUUCUUCACGUCGCCCCAUGAGAGUUUGUCUGCAAAAGCUCCCUUGUGCGUACCCUUUCCUUCAAGGGGAAAAACUGCACCCUCAAGACUAUCUACAUGAUGAUAAACAGCCCCACCCACCCAGAGCCUGAAACCCCCAGCAGCUUGUAAGUGGAGAAUGAACGAUCCUCAGAUCGGACCAGAAACCCCGGAGAGACCCCGGUCCAUGUGGGACAGGAACCGUGGCUGGCCUGACUUGUAUCUACCCCAGCGCUUAGAACAGUGCUUGAACACAGUAAGCGCUUAACACAAAAACAACACCCCUCCGACGAAGAACCCGGAGAAGAGGAACCGGCGUGAGGUACCUGGCCCCGUUCCUCCCCGGUUUCUUCACGAUUUUGGAAGGCUCGAGCGACCAGUGACUAAGUAGCAGGGUCGGCGGAUGGGCUCACCGUUUACCGCAGGUUCACUGGAGCGCUAAGGGGGUGAGAGAAGACCAACCACCUCUCUCUGGAAGACUGAAUCAAGAGCUAGAAGUCACUGCUUCAAUGACUUUACUUCAACAGUGCCGGUGAAAGCCCUAAGCAUCGACUUCCGAAUUGGUGAACAGAGCUUGGAGACGACUGACCUGUGUUUUGCAAAUGGCCAAAAAGAAAGAUGCUAUUGGGAUUAUCCUUUCUCACUUUUCCCUGCCAAUGACUUACGACCAGAGGGUCAAAACCUCUCCAACUCGGGCCAUAAUCACCAAGAAGAAAGCCAGCUUUACAGAUUUGAGAAUUUUACGCCGCGUCUGACUAAGAAAUCAAGCUAAGACACCACAGCUUCUAGAAGCCAAGUGACCGCCUGGAUUUCUGGCCUUAUUACUAAACAGAACGCUAAAAUGAAUACGACCCUACUGCCAGGACAGGAAUCAGAGGAAGAGACAAAAUCCAAUCUACGAGAGCCAGUGCUAGAGCAAUCUGAAAUUAAAAAUGCUCAUCCAGAAAAUGCUCAGUUUGCAGCACCUCCCAAA